UUUAAUGGUUAGUAUAAAUUCAAAUUAAUUGAAUUAUAUUAUUUUUCUACUAUUUUUAACUUCUGGACAAUCGACGAAUUCCAUUGCUGGUCCCAUUAAUAAACAGAAAAACAACAACAUCGUAGUGCGUGCAUGCAUUUGUAGGCAGAAGGGGGCGGGGUAGCAGGGGGAGGAGUUCGGAGCGAUUAGGAGAAGCGCGUCUAAGUUCAAGGCCAAGUAGUUCACAACAUAAGCAGUGAAGGCAGCAGCAACAACAACAAAGGCGAAAAAGCAGCAGCAGCAGGGCGAGAGUGCGAAAGUGAGGAUGGAGAGGGAAAAGAAGCAAACGCAGCUGAAAAAAGUGCACAGAAAAUUGUUUGGCUAUGUGAAUGUGUGUGUGUGCUGUUUCGCAGCGAAAAAGGUCAAUGACACCUGUAUGUUUGUCUCGCUCGGCUCACACACACACAGGGUUAUCACCGGCCACUCUCUGCACUCGCGCCCUCUCUUUCUGGCCUUCGCGCACCUACGUUUAGACAUGUGGUCAGAACAAUUUUUGUUUUUUUCUCGCUUUAAAAGGCAUUUGUGUUGGUGGCGGCAUGUGUGUUGUUGUUGUUCGUUUCGGCACUGUUAAUUAGUGUGGCCAAAUUAUGCGCCAAAGCUGACAACAACUCGAUGGUCAUACGUCAUCAACAAUAGCCGGACAAACAAUUUCCGGUUUUUAGCCCCACCAUUAAAAAGCCAAUAUCAGAAAUAACAUACACGAAAAUAAAAUAAUAAAAAAAAACCGAAAAACAAAAGCAGGCGCAACAACAACAAACAUGGCCCGGGUUCCGUCAUUGCCUCAUCCUCUAUAGAUCUCCUCUGUUCUUCUGCUUUAUUUUGGUUCUAUUUCAGCAAUUUGUUAUUGCGGCGACUUAUUUUUGUCGCAAGCAUGCACACACACUCGUAUUUAUGUUCGCAUACGCACACUCACACAGUGCAGGCGGGCAAACUCGAUUUAAAAAUAAAUAAAUUACGCACAAAUACAAAUACAUUGGCCAACAUUCUUCGGGCCUCGUCAAAAAUAUAGCAUGAUUAAUACAAAAAUGCGCAAUUCUGUGGUGUUUUUUUUACUUCGGUUUUGCCUGUUGUUUUAACCCCACCUCCCAAUUUUUUAUGGCAUUUCUCUCUUAUUAUACAAUAACAACGCGUAUAUAAUAAGAGCACAGCAAGUGGGCAGUCCAACGGCAUCGCAAAUAGCAACAACAAGCGCAGCGGCACGCCAAUUAGUGCUUAUGCUUUUUAAUUAGUAAGUGGACCCAUCCCCAAUUUCCCACCUCCCCAAAUUUACGCCCACAAAAACCCCUUAGCCGUAGUAUUUCCUCGCCAGUUAUAUGGGAAAUGUCUUUAUAUUUUUCACUAUUUGAGGUCACCCACAGACCCCAGAUCUAUUGGACAGCUUUUGUUGUGGAUGUAACAGGUUUCAAAGUCCCUAAAUCGUGGGUGUGUCUAAAUCUCGUUCUUUCAGAAGAAAGACCCAUUUUUAAUUCCGAAUUUAGUCACAAUAAUCUCAAACUGUCUAAGUUCAAUUAAAUGUAGCAAAAAGUGGAAUUAAAUAUUAAAUGUUUGUUAUUUUAAAAGCACCUAAUGUUUUUACAAAAAUUUGAUUAUUAUCAAAUUGAAAUCGUAUUUAUAAGGUAAAAGUUAGAACAAAUAUGCUAAGCUGCUUGAAAAUUGUUUUGGUUUCUAAUGCGAAAACGUGUGAGAGCUUUAAAAGUAUACUAAAUAAAUUGGGCUGGUUUUGCACAGCUAAUGGUCACUCUAACUACGAGCUCCAAAAUAAAAUUGAAAACUGCAAUGUCAUGACUUUUUGACAAACACUAAAAUUAUGGUGUCCAACUUAGUUGUUAAUUAAACACGUUAAAAAAGGGCGUAAACAACCGUUUUCCAACAAAUGAUUUAACAAAUCGACAGGCGGUACUAAAAAGGAAAAAGUAACAAAAUAAAAGCGCUUUUUAGGAAAAAUACAAGUAUUGACGGGAUGUUAAAACGCUAACACUACUUUUGGAGUUUAAUGGAACUCGUUUAAUACAUUUAAUAACAUUAUUUUAAUGAAUAUACAUGAAUACAUUUUUAUAUUUUAAAAUUUACCAAGGACAAUAGAUAUAACAUUUUUAGUAAGAAUACUAGUAAUUUCAUGAAAUACUAUUUUAACAAUCGUGUUAAUUACUCUUUUAGUGCUGGAUUUAUUUAAUGCAAAACUUAUUUGUACCGUUCUUCAAAAUGCGUGCAACAAUAAAAAACAACCAGGAAAACAACAACAAAAAAACAAAAACCGGCAGCAAUCGAAAUUCUUUCAUUUCCUUUGCGCCUCUCUUCGCGCAGCCGCUCUCCGCAUGCCAGAGAGAGAAAGAGAACAUGUUGGUGCGCCGCUCAUUCACAAAACGGAGACGUGAAGCGGUGUGCGAAGAAGAAGAACAACAACAGCCGAAGAUAUGAUAGAUAUGGAACAACAACAAAAGGAACAAGAGAAACCGGACGAAGAGAGGAGAGGAGAGGAGAGGAGAG